rnacentral:lncRNA from 1 species
GGCUUCACUAGUCUCAUCCUCCGCACCCAUGCGGAGCUCGACCUCACUCGCCAAUCAGACGUUGAGUCCUUCUUUGCCUCUGAAAAGCCCGAAUUUGUUGUCUUGGCUGCUGCAAAAGUGGGUGGCAUCCAUGCUAAUAACACUUACCCAGCUGAUUUUAUAGCCAUUAAUCUCCAGAUCCAAACCAAUGUCAUUGACUCCUCUUAUCGCCAUGGCGUCAAGAAAUUGCUCUUUCUUGGUUCGUCCUGCAUUUACCCCAAGUUAGCACCCCAGCCGAUCCCUGAAAACGCCUUGCUUACAGGUCCUCUUGAGCCAACUAAUGAAUGGUAUGCUGUGGCUAAGAUCGCUGGAAUAAAAAUGUGUCAAGCCUACAGAAUUCAGUAUAAUUGGGACGCAAUUUCUGGGAUGCCCACCAAUUUGUAUGGUCCAAAUGAUAACUUCCAUCCAGAAAAUUCUCAUGUUCUCCCGGCUUUGAUGAGGAGGUUUCACGAGGCAAAGGUGAACGGGGCAAAGGAGGUGGUGGUGUGGGGAACAGGGAGUCCGUUGAGGGAGUUUCUACAUGUGGAUGAUUUGGCUGAUGCGGUAGUUUUCUUGAUGGAAAGCUACAGUGGGCUGGAGCAUGUAAAUGUGGGGAGUGGGAAGGAGGUAACGAUCAAGGAGUUGGCAGAGUCAAUGAAGGAAGUUGUGGGGUUUGAAGGGGAGCUUGUUUGGGAUACAUCAAAGCCAGAUGGAACUCCCAGGAAGCUUAUGGAUAGCUCGAAGCUGUUGGGGUUGGGGUGGAUGCCUAAAAUUUCACUUAAGGACGGGCUCAUUGAUACUUACAAGUGGUAUGCGGAG